rnacentral:rRNA from 1 species
CAUAGGUUAAUGAGGCGAACCGGGGGAACUGAAACAUCUAAGUACCCCGAGGAAAAGAAAUCAACCGAGAUUCCCCCAGUAGCGGCGAGCGAACGGGGAGGAGCCCAGAGCCUGAAUCAGUGUGUGUGUUAGUGGAAGCGUCUGGAAAGGCGCGCGAUACAGGGUGACAGCCCCGUACACAAAAAUGCACAUACUGUGAGCUCGAUGAGUAGGGCGGGACACGUGGUAUCCUGUCUGAAUAUGGGGGGACCAUCCUCCAAGGCUAAAUACUCCUGACUGACCGAUAGUGAACCAGUACCGUGAGGGAAAGGCGAAAAGAACCCCGGCGAGGGGAGUGAAAAAGAACCUGAAACCGUGUACGUACAAGCAGUGGGAGCCUCUUAAUGGGGUGACUGCGUACCUUUUGUAUAAUGGGUCAGCGACUUAUAUUCUGUAGCAAGGUUAACCGAAUAGGGGAGCCGAAGGGAAACCGAGUCUUAACUGGGCGUUAAGUUGCAGGGUAUAGACCCGAAACCCGGUGAUCUAGCCAUGGGCAGGUUGAAGGUUGGGUAACACUAACUGGAGGACCGAACCGACUAAUGUUGAAAAAUUAGCGGAUGACUUGUGGCUGGGGGUGAAAGGCCAAUCAAACCGGGAGAUAGCUGGUUCUCCCCGAAAGCUAUUUAGGUAGCGCCUCGUGAAUUCAUCUCCGGGGGUAGAGCACUGUUUCGGCAAGGGGGUCAUCCCGACUUACCAACCCGAUGCAAACUGCGAAUACCGGAGAAUGUUAUCACGGGAGACACACGGCGGGUGCUAACGUCCGUCGUGAAGAGGGAAACAACCCAGACCGCCAGCUAAGGUCCCAAAGUCAUGGUUAAGUGGGAAACGAUGUGGGAAGGCCCAGACAGCCAGGAUGUUGGCUUAGAAGCAGCCAUCAUUUAAAGAAAGCGUAAUAGCUCACUGGUCGAGUCGGCCUGCGCGGAAGAUGUAACGGGGCUAAACCAUGCACCGAAGCUGCGGCAGCGACACUAUGUGUUGUUGGGUAGGGGAGCGUUCUGUAAGCCUGUGAAGGUGUACUGUGAGGUAUGCUGGAGGUAUCAGAAGUGCGAAUGCUGACAUAAGUAACGAUAAAGCGGGUGAAAAGCCCGCUCGCCGGAAGACCAAGGGUUCCUGUCCAACGUUAAUCGGGGCAGGGUGAGUCGACCCCUAAGGCGAGGCCGAAAGGCGUAGUCGAUGGGAAACAGGUUAAUAUUCCUGUACUUGGUGUUACUGCGAAGGGGGGACGGAGAAGGCUAUGUUGGCCGGGCGACGGUUGUCCCGGUUUAAGCGUGUAGGCUGGUUUUCCAGGCAAAUCCGGAAAAUCAAGGCUGAGGCGUGAUGACGAGGCACUACGGUGCUGAAGCGACAAAUGCCCUGCUUCCAGGAAAAGCCUCUAAGCAUCAGGUAACAUCAAAUCGUACCCCAAACCGACACAGGUGGUCAGGUAGAGAAUACCAAGGCGCUUGAGAGAACUCGGGUGAAGGAACUAGGCAAAAUGGUGCCGUAACUUCGGGAGAAGGCACGCUGAUAUGUAGGUGAAGCGACUUGCUCGUGGAGCUGAAAUCAGUCGAAGAUACCAGCUGGCUGCAACUGUUUAUUAAAAACACAGCACUGUGCAAACACGAAAGUGGACGUAUACGGUGUGACGCCUGCCCGGUGCCGGAAGGUUAAUUGAUGGGGUUAGCGGUAACGCGAAGCUCUUGAUCGAAGCCCCGGUAAACGGCGGCCGUAACUAUAACGGUCCUAAGGUAGCGAAAUUCCUUGUCGGGUAAGUUCCGACCUGCACGAAUGGCGUAAUGAUGGCCAGGCUGUCUCCACCCGAGACUCAGUGAAAUUGAACUCGCUGUGAAGAUGCAGUGUACCCGCGGCAAGACGGAAAGACCCCGUGAACCUUUACUAUAGCUUGACACUGAACAUUGAGCCUUGAUGUGUAGGAUAGGUGGGAGGCUUUGAAGUGUGGACGCCAGUCUGCAUGGAGCCGACCUUGAAAUACCACCCUUUAAUGUUUGAUGUUCUAACGUGGGCCCCUUACCGGGGUUGCGGACAGUGUCUGGUGGGUAGUUUGACUGGGGCGGUCUCCUCCUAAAGAGUAACGGAGGAGCACGAAGGUUGGCUAAUCCUGGUCGGACAUCAGGAGGUUAGUGCAAUGGCAUAAGCCAGCUUGACUGCGAGCGUGACGGCGCGAGCAGGUGCGAAAGCAGGUCAUAGUGAUCCGGUGGUUCUGAAUGGAAGGGCCAUCGCUCAACGGAUAAAAGGUACUCCGGGGAUAACAGGCUGAUACCGCCCAAGAGUUCAUAUCGACGGCGGUGUUUGGCACCUCGAUGUCGGCUCAUCACAUCCUGGGGCUGAAGUAGGUCCCAAGGGUAUGGCUGUUCGCCAUUUAAAGUGGUACGCGAGCUGGGUUUAGAACGUCGUGAGACAGUUCGGUCCCUAUCUGCCGUGGGCGCUGGAGAACUGAGGGGGGCUGCUCCUAGUACGAGAGGACCGGAGUGGACGCAUCACUGGUGUUCGGGUUGUCAUGCCAAUGGCACUGCCCGGUAGCUAAAUGCGGAAGAGAUAAGUGCUGAAAGCAUCUAAGCACGAAACUUGC